UACGUAGGGUGCAAGCGUUAAUCGGAAUUACUGGGCGUAAAGCGUGCGCAGGCGGUGAUGUAAGACAGUUGUGAAAUCCCCGGGCUCAACCUGGGAACUGCAUCUGUGACUGCAUCGCUGAGUAGCGGCAGAGGGGGGAUGGAAUUCCGCGUGUAGCAGUGAAAUGCGUAGAUAUGCGGAGGAACACCGAUGGCGAAGGCAAUCCCCUGGGCCUGUACUGACGCUCAUGCACGAAAGCGUGGGGAGCAAACAGG
rnacentral:rRNA from 1 species